rnacentral:rRNA from 1 species
GCAUGGCAUCUUUGCUGUAAAUACCACUACCUGCUACCACUCUCUCGUCUCUCCCCCUUUCUUUCUCCGUGGACACAGCGGCGACCCGCAACAGCGCCCAACCACCUGCGGCGCGACCUAGCCGGCGACCGGCGGCACCACCUCCGGCGAGGGGCGGCGUUCAGGUUGUCAACCAUGGUUUUCCUUCAGGAGGAGAUGUCUUGGAACGUGCUGAUCUCACCGGACCAGCUGAGCCCCAAGGGCCUGCUGCUCCGCAAGUCCAUCAUCGUGCGUCUUCUGGAGGACGUCACCAACAGGAAGGCCUCCAAGGAGCAUGGCUACUACAUUGCUGUCAAUGAGCUGAAGACAAUAUCUGAAGGGAAGGUUCGUGAGCUGACCGGAGAUGUUCUUUUCCCGGUCACAUUCACCUGCAUCACUCAGAGGCCUAUGAAGGGGGAGAUCUUGGUCGGCUCCGUGGAGAAGAUCCUCAAGCACGGCGUCUUCCUCAAAUCUGGGCCAAUCGAAAGCAUCUUCCUGUCGGAGAAGUCGAUGAGCGACUACAAGUACAUGGGCGGCGAGAACCCCUUGUUCAUGAACGACCACUCGAAGCUGGAGAGGGACACCGCCGUGCGCUUCAAGGUCAUGGGGUUCCGCUGGAUGGAGGCAGACCGCCAGUUCCAGCUCCUUGCGUCGCUGGCUGGUGAUUUCCUCGGGCCGCUGUGA